GAUGAUAAACAGAAAAACAAUAUCAGAUGUAUAUUAUAAAGUUUUUGAAUACCAGGUUAUGAACAAUUUGGGCAGAAAAGUGUAAAGCAUUGAAGAGAUUUUCUUAAGGUUAAUUUGUUUAGAAAGUAGUAUUAGGAAAAAUAAUUGAGGAUGGAAUUGAAAUUAUAUCCAAGAGGACUAUGAAUGAUACCUAUUUUUUAUUUUUUGAGGUAAUUAGGAUUCUAUUGAAUUUUUGGAUAGAUGAAUUAAAUGAUCAUUAUGGCAUUUGAGAGAGAUAAUUAAGUGCUGAGCAGCAUGGAGUAGGUUAACUCAAUAAAACCUUGCUUCCAACAUGUGAACAAUAUCAUCAUUUGGUGUAGUUAUCUAG
rnacentral:lncRNA from 1 species